CCACUUCCGCAUUAUCUAUACUAAAUAUGGAAUGAUACAGAGAAGAUUAUCAUGGCCUCCAUUCAAGGACAACAGGCAAAUCCGUACAGGAGACUCUUAUUCUA